rnacentral:rRNA from 1 species
UACGUAGGGUGCAAGCGUUAAUCGGAAUUACUGGGCGUAAAGCGUGCGCAGGCGGUGAUGUAAGGACAGAAUGUGAAAUCCCCGGGCUCAACCUGGGAACUGCAUUUGUGACUGCAUCGCUGGAGUGCGGCAGAGGGGGAUGGAAUUCCGCGUGUAGCAGGUGAAAUGCGUAGAUAUGCGGAGGAACACCGAUGGCGAAGGCAAUCCCCGUGGGCCUGCACUGACGCUCAUGCACGAAAGCGUGGGGAGCAAACAGGG